UAGGGAAUCUUCGGCAAUGGGCGAAAGCCUGACCGAGCAACGCCGCGUGAGCGAUGAAGGCCUUCGGGUCGUAAAGCUCUGUUGUUAGAGAAGAACAAGUACGAGAGUAACUGCUCGUACCUUGACGGUACCUAACCAGAAAGCCACGGCUAACUACGUGCCAGCAGCCGCGGUAAUACGUAGGUGGCAAGCGUUAUCCGGAAUUAUUGGGCGUAAAGCGCGCGCAGGCGGUCUCUUAAGUCUGAUGUGAAAGCCCACGGCUCAACCGUGGAGGGUCAUUGGAAACUGGGAGACUUGAGUGCAGGAGAGAAAAGUGGAAUUCCACGUGUAGCGGUGAAAUGCGAAGAGAUGUGGAGGAACACCAGUGGCGAAGGCGGCUUUUUGGCCUGUAACUGACGCUGAGGCGCGAAAGCGUGGGGAGCAAACAGGAUUAGAUACCCUGGUAGUCCACGCCGUAACGAUGAGUGCUAGGU
rnacentral:rRNA from 1 species